GUAAAGGCAAGGAUUGACUAAAAAAAAAGGGUUUUUAGAGAGAGAGAGAGAGAGAGACAGUAGAAACCCUUUGAGUUCAGAAAAUGUCAGAUAGAAACUGAACAAGCAUAGAAGAUAUUGGGAAACUACCCUUCUUUCCCUCUUCUCCGACGGCCAUUCCUCUCCGUGAUGAAUCCCCACAAAGCUGAAGACGAUCUCUUCCAUCACCACCCUGAUCUGAGCCCGCCUUCCCAGAUCAUCCAUACCCAAUCACAGCCGUCCAUUUCCCCUCCCCAUGACCCACCCUUCUCCCUCCCCGAAAUCGUCCUUUUCCGCUCCUCUUCCUCCGCGGACUCACCUAGUCGGUCCGAUUCCGAAAACGACGACGCAGCCGCAACCACUCACCACGCCCCUUCCUCCACCGCAACAACUACAACAACAACCGACCUAACAAACACUGCCCAGAAAAUUACCAAUCAGCCCCUGGGAUACAUUAGCCCCGAGGCUCACAUUUCCUCUCAGUUCUACACCUUCAACGCCGACUCUCAUUCCCUCAUGAUCCGCUGCAUCCGUGAGCAGCGUUUAGCGACUCCAGCUGAGAUCCGAGCCGCCACACCCCGCUCUGUCCUCAAAUCGUGGCGCGCCGUGUGGAAGGACCGCAACGAGGACACUGCUUACCUGACUGCGUGGAAGCGAAUCCAAGACAAGCUCACCGCACACGUGGACCCCAAUUCCGGUAACGAAUUCCUUUGCUUCAAAAACAAUUCUAAUCAAUUCGUUUCCCAUGUUAACCAGUGGCAAGAAAUCGUUAUGAGUUUCCAUGGCGACGCCGAUUUAAAACACUUAGGGCUUAAAGAAACAAUUGAGAGAAUCAAGCAAGUGUGGACUGUAGGUGCUAAGUUCUAUGGAAUUCCCGAGAGUUACAUCAGGGUUUGUGUUGCGGCGUGCCCUGUAUGCAAUGCUUCCUCAGGAUCUGCUUCAAGGAGUAAACGGCGUCGUUUUGAGUACACAGAGUCUUUUGACGUGCCUGCAAAGGAGGUACCUCAUAGGUUGCAGCAAUUGGCUGCAAAGCACAAGGUUGUGCUCUGUAUCAGACAGAAAUAUAUUAGAUAUAAGCCUUUUAUGGCCGAGGUGAAGGAUUAUGCUUGUCAUCGAGCAGGGGAGCCUGCAGCAAAGAAGUCAAGGAUUUUGAAGAGGGAACCUUAUGCAUCUAAAAGGUGUGGCUGUGGAUUUAGAAUCAGGGCAAUAGUGCCAAUUGCCAAUUAUAAUGAUAAGGAUAAGACGUUUGUAUAUCAAGAGGAAGGGAUGGCGGUGUUUAAGUUGUAUGCGGUGCAUUCUGGCCAUGAGCCAGGGCCGCUGGAUGGGAAUGCAAGGAUUAUGCAUCGUGUUGUUGGGCAUAAGGGAGGGUUUUUGAUGGAUCAGGACAUGGUUUAUGGGGUAAGUGAUGAUUUGGAUAGUGAGGGGUUUGGAUUAAUGAGGAAGGAAGGAGAGUUGCAGCUUGCUGUUUUGCAGCAGGUGCAGGAGUUGAGAGCUGAAAUUGGGUUGUUAGAGGGGAGGAUUAGCAAGGUUCCUCAUCAGUUGUUGGGUUCAGUAUCAAGGGAGCUAUAUGAUAUUUUGAGUAAAGUAAGAAGUUUAGGGGAAGAGGGUCCAAAGUCAAUGGUAUUGCUUUCUGACAAACCUCAUUCAGAUGACAUGUUGGUAGGGGAGAAUGAUUUGUCACACUGGAGUGAUCACCACCAUGAUCGGAUAUAUGGGGAUGACAAGGAUGCAGAAUUGAUUGAAGAUGAUGAAGACAGUUUUGGAAGGACACUUGGGGAUGUUGUUCCUUGGGACCAAAUGAGGACGGAUUGUAGGAGUCAGAAAGAUCUGAUCAGCGAGCCUUGUAAGACAGAUAAGUGGUUGAAAUGCAGUGAUUUUGAUGAGAAGAGCAUUCUUGACUGUGAAGAUACUAAACUAACCAAACCCAUGAGACAUGAUGAUGGUAUAGGGACAGACGUAGGUCUUGUUGGCAUUCAGGUUGAUAGUUUCUACCAAGAAAAUCCUAAAUGGUAUGAUUCUCCUUGUGGAUUAGAUUCCAGCACGGAUUGUGGUGACAGUGGAUUUAGACAUGGAGAGAUUGUGUAGAAUCUUGAAGAGCCAGGUUCACCUCUCUUUACUAAUUUCAAAGAGUUUGAACUAUCUACUAGUUGGCUUGAUCAUGCUGGUGGUUGUAAUCAUUAUCAUGUAUUAUGGGUCAAAUUGUCAGGAUGAUUUCUAUGGGCUACUUAAUUUGUAUGUUGCUUUAUCCUCCCUCUCUUUUCACCUUUGUUUAUUGUUAUUGUUUUUUAGUUAUGUAUUGUGAACCAUAGUAGUGAUUGUCUGUGAAUGUUUUAGGUGCAUUGUACAUUCAAUAGUUCUUUUUGCUAUGCCUAUUACUGGAGAGCUUGACAUCAAGUUCUAUCAAGGAACUUUCUUCAACUGAGUUGUCAAUUUCUUGAGGAAUUGAUGUCAUCAUCAUUCUCCUUUAUCUGUAGUGGCAGGUAUCACUUGAAACAGGCUUGGCAUCAUAUGGUUCCUGAAGCAAGAGCAUUCUUGACUUAACAAAUGACAAAUGGAUUGAAGAAAAUAAAUUUUGCACAGGUAGUUACUCCUCCCUAUGCGAUUAUGUAUUAGUAGUCAGUCUCUGUCAAUGUUCUGGAGAUAUUGCACUGUCUUUCCUUAUAAAGUGGAGUGUGAAUUUUGAGAGUGAGAAACGGCAAUCUGACUUUUCUGCAGGAUCAAUAUUCCUAUAUGAAAUGGUUGUACUUGUAGUAUUGCAUCUCUUAGCUAUUUAGCUCUGGGGUCAGAACUGAUUAGUUCUUCCCAACAUUAUUGUGGUGCGGAAGUCGGUUGUAGUUUUCUGCAUUCUCUUCUUACAUAGCAUAAGCCACAAAGUACAAUCUACAACAGUGGAUUCAGGGACUGGAUGACCGUGCAUGUAGAGAAUCUAGUUUCCACAUGCCAGAAAGUUUACAUUUUGGAAUUUUAGCGGUAUUUAUAACAUAUUGAAUGAUAAAUAUUAAGAAUUGGGAAAAAAAAAAAAACACAAAAAAGAAAGGAAGCCAAAGGUGGAUGGUGCAAGAUGAUUAUCUGAUGAAUGGUCAAGUUUGUCGUUUUAAAGAGUGCGUGUGGUUGGAAAUGCUUUGGGCUGGAUGGCCCCUCUUUUUUUAAUAUUACAAGUUUUUCUGGUGCCAAUCUCACAAAUUUUAUCUAAUCUUCAUCAGAGUUUGUAUUAGGAAUUCAAAAGUAUACUAUGUAAUGUCACUAACAAUUAUCUAACCUGCAUGACAACUGACAAGUUCAAAGGAAAUUUGAUAGGUCUUAUCUUAUCACAUGAAUAGAAGACCUGCUCUUUUAUAGCACAACUCUUAGAUUUCCGGGCAAUGGUUCUUGGACCUGAACCAUGGGAUGUUGUCGCGUGCCGUAAGAAUGAGAAAAAACUAACUCGUUUUAGUGGCGCACUAAUAAACAAAAGAGAUGUCUGUGGGCUUCUAAACUGGCCCAACCAUGGAUUUAGCUGUUUAGCACCGACGCGUCAAUGCUAAUUU